CCUUAAAUAAGUUAAUAAAACUAUUGAACUUUUAAUUCAAUUUUACUAAAAAGUUUUAAGGU
rnacentral:tRNA from 1 species